GACUGGGUGGCUCAAUUGGUUGAGCAUCUGACUUCAGCUCAGGUCACGAUUCCAUGGUUUUGUGGGUUUGAGACCCGCACUGGGCU
rnacentral:tRNA from 1 species